GGAAAUGGUCACAUUACAAGGCGGUUGCUGAAGGGAGGUGAAGUAGCCUUGCAGAAAAGGUCACCUGCCACUUCUGUCUCUCUGAUCCAACCAUGUGGCUUAGACUUCUCUGCUGUGUGGCUUUGUUUUUCUGGGGAGCCGGGACCAUGGACACUGAGGUCAUCCAAAGCCCGAGACAUCUGGUCAAAGGAAAGGAACAGAAAGCAAAGAUGGAUUGCGUCCCUAAAAAAGGGCACAGUUAUGUUUAUUGGUAUCAUAAGAAGCUGGGAGAAGAGCUCAAGUUUUUGGUUUACUUUCAGAAUGAAGAAAUCAUGGAGAAAACAGAAAUGAUCAAUGAGCGAUUUUCAGCCAAAUGCCCCAAAAACUUGCCCUGUAGCAUAGACAUCCAGUCCACGGAGCUCUCCGACUCUGCUCUGUACUUGUGUGCCAGCAGCCAGUCCACAGUGCUGAACGGUGGCUUUUCUUAG